GAUGAUACUUUCAGCUUCAUUUGCAUUUUUUACUUAGUUUGCCCCUUUAAUUUUGGUACUCUUGCAGUACACUUGUCUUUUAAGCACUGUGUUAUGCAUAUUUUUUUAGUGGGGGGAAACAUUCGAACUUGUCAUUCCUGCUUUCUAACUUCAUUUGCGUGAGGAGAUAAAGUUACUAUAAGUUUGUGUAUUUGUGAAUCCUUGCAUAUAACCUGCCGAGGAAGAGGAAAAUGCAAAGUAGGAGGAGAAGAACAAGGAUGCUGAUCAUAAUAAGGUGGGAUCAUGGUUUAGCAACCCAGGAGCUGGUGGCAGAGUUGGCAAGUAUCUUACAACUCGGACAGCUGGCUCUUCUGAUGCCACUGGAAAACAUAAGUGACAUGUUUUUGUGCUCCAUCAUGAUCUAUUUUGAGAUACGGUACAUCAGUACUAGAUUCAACAUUUGGGAGGUAAUUUUCUCGCUUUCGUAGUUUUACCUUAUAUUUUUGUAUAACCAGUUCUUCGAAAACUUGAAAAUAUGAUCUACUCAAGCUGAAAGCAUGUACAUAUAGCCUACUUUUGGCAGCUAUUUCUUUCCCGCUGAUUAUUGUCAGGAAGUAAUACAAUAUUUCUAUUGUAUUUUUAGUGGUUGUGCCAGUUUGGGACAAAACUUAUUUUUAGUAGAAUUGUUUGCUUGCCACUGAGUUAAGUUUACUCAACAAAUUGUACAAGAAAGUGUUUCAUAAAUUUUACUUGGUAUGCUGCUCUUUUUUAGCAAUUACUUGAAUUUUAGUUAGAGGCCACAUAAACUGUCUUCAAUUGAAUUUUCCCAGUCAUUUGGUGUACUCAAACUGAAACACCUCCAGGACAAGUGCUUUUGAAUACUGUUAUUAACAUACUUUAUUCUCCGCAUAAGCACAUGAUGAAGUUCGUACUAUGUUUGGUGCCAUCGAUGGUUUGUGACAGAGGUUACGAAAUAUUGCAUGGCAAUACUUUCCACUAUUACUGGUUUUCAACUGUAUGCUGCUAUUUUUCAUGGCUACAAAUUUAAGAACUUGUACCGCUAUAAUGUAGGAGGUUGGAUGUUUUCUAUGGAUAUGAAUGCUCGCGGCACUGCUGAACCUGAAUCUUCUUAAAAAUAGUUACUUUUGAACCUGUCAUAGAGCCAGACAAUAUUGUUCCUUUACUGUGCAGAUAUGAACUUGAUCAUUUACAUGGUGUGUUUGCUGUCUUUAAUCUUGAUCUGCAAUUAGCUGCGGUUCCAUUGAAAUGUCUUGACAUGUCAACUGUUUCUAGACAAGCACUAUCAAUCUUUUACGCAUUCAUGAAAAUGCUGGCAAUAUACUUUGGUCCAUAUAGGCUAAGUAUCCAUUUUUUUCUCAUUGCCUUCAUUUGUUCAUUCUGCUUCAGACUAUUGUGGCAGCAGGUACAGUACUGUUAACUUUCAUCACCAUACAUGGGUAUGCACAGUCGGUUAUCAUCUUCUUAUGCUUGGAAGCUGAGUCAUGUAAUCAGGUUGAUGCAUAGUGGUACUACCUUAGAUACAACCUGUAUUGUAUGCAUAAAAUUGAAAUACGUGUACAUGUUAAGCAUCAUCUGUACGGGUACAUACAUCAGGUACAAGUUUAAAGUUAAAUGCAUCAAGCAAGCAAACGGUUCAAUUAUAUAGUGUUGUUAACAUUACGUACAUAUAAUUUGGCUGCAAUUAUUAAUCUUUUUUUGUUAUGAACUUUUCAAUUUCAUGAAGUUGGAGACAUCAGAGACAUCAAAUAAUCUUACUACACAUGGUCGAAGAACAAGGAGGCUGCUGGCCCCACCUGCUGCUGGCCGACCUGGGUGGCGAUGAGUGGCGGAAGAAGGGGAGAAACACGCUGUGAUGAAGGUGCGUGUCAAGCUUCUCCAUCUCCAUGUAAACGGAUGACCUCCACAGCAAGAGAUGCGGUCAGGGGAUGAAUGUUUUAAGGAAAGUGACCCAGACUAUGGGUUUGUACCAUCCAUGCGCUAUAGUUAAAUCUGUACAUCCUAAGAAAUGUGCAGACCACAAUGAAAUUGGAGAAGUUUAAGGCGGAGGUCAUUUUAGUUAAUUGGGUUUUGUUUAUUUUUCUCAGUGUACACUGUUUAUUUUAGUUUCUUCUUGUCAUAAAUAUGUUUUUUUUGUGGUCGUUGAAGAAUAGUAAGGGACAAACAUUACGAAUGCACUAUAUGUAUAUUUAUUAUUUAUAAAAUAUUUUUUAAGGCAUUCAAUAAGAAAUUAGUAUAC